UCCUGUGGAAGUCAAGCUAUGAAGCACUUUGUAGUCCUCAAACUAAGCAGGCGGAGGAGAGACUUCUGGUGUUUGUCUGGAGGGCUGUUGGCCCAGUUGGGCGGGGUUUAGUGUAAUGGCUCUGUUCUCCACUAGAUGGCGCCGCUUAGCGUACUGGGGUAGAUUGUUGCAGCGCGUGUAGGCGUGUCUGCGCAUGCGCGGGAGGGGUGAAAAUGGCGUCUCCCAGAUACCCGAUCUCCAGUAUUGGAACUCUGUGCUCUCCCUGACCGGCAAUCAAAUACCCCUCCUUUUUUGCUGGUUUCCAUCUACUCCCCGCUUUGAGACUGUCCGUGACCAGGCCGUCAGGCUGCUAGGCAGCGCCUGUCUCCUGAGUUUCAUCUCAGAUGCGGCUGUGUUUCCCGACCCCUCACUUCUGAGGGACUGUGGCUUUGACCCGCUCAGAUCCUCUGGGAAAGGGUCUCACUGAGCAAUGGCCGGUGCUGGCGGCACCCAGGAACGUUCGCUGGACUGUGCUGCUGCCGGUGCUCUGAGACUGCGGCCGGGUGCCAGCCGGCCCCAGAAAAAGUUUGCGAGAUAGUGUAGCAGCAGCGUUUCAGGGAUUAUGGAAAAUCACAGCACACAUCUGGCGCCAGGCUUCACCCUUAACGUCCUUGUUCCAGCACCAGUGAAUGUCCUCGUUCUCCGCGGUCCACUGGGAGACGUCGUCCAGCAGGGGAACCACCACAUCCUGUGUGGCCUGCGGACCCCUUGGACCAUGCUCUCUGCUCCUGGAGAUUCACCCUUCUCACCAGAGCAAUGCCAGAGAGGAGACCUUUCUGUGCAAGUUGGACAUGUUGAUUGGGAAGCAGGAAAGAGAAAGACAGAGAUGCCAAGAAAAAUGUGCUAUUUUAACGUCAAGCAACACAAAAGAAGCAUAGGGUUAUUUCCAGCCUAAAGUUGGAGGCUACAUUUGGAACAGAGCUCUAAGAUACCAGAUGCUUAACUCAAUCUUCUUUUCUCAAUUGAGGUUUAAGACCUCAGUGGAGGAAGUUACUACAGAUUUGGUGGAAAUAGCAAGAGAACUGGAAUCAGAAGUGAUCUGAAGAUGUAACUGAAUUGCUGCAAUCUCAUGAUAAAACUUGAAUGGAUGAGGAGUUACUUCUUACGGAUGAGCAAAAAAAGUGGUUUAUUGAGAUGAAAUCUUCUGGUGAAGAUGCUGUGGAGACUGUUAUUAUGACAACAAAACAUUUAAAAUAUUAUAUAAACUUGGUUGAUAAAACAACAUCAAGGUUUGAGAGGAAUGACUCCAAUUUUGACAGAAGUUCUACUCAGGGUGAAAUACUAUCAAACAGUGUUAAUGAAAGGAAAAGUCAUUUGAUGCUGCAAAUUUUGUUGUCUAAUGUUAAGAAGUUGCCACAACCACCCUAACCUUCAACAAUCACCAACCACCCAGAUUAGUCAGCAGCCAUCAACACUGAGUGGCCUGGAACUGAGCCCACAAAAUUUCCAAGGUAUAUGUCUGCUCCUACCCUGCAAAUAAAGAAGCAAACCAAAACAAGCAACAAGAAUAAAAUAAUGAGGUUUUAACCCCUAGUCCUUUAGCACUGUUUCUGACACACUUUAAAUCAAGCAAAUAAAUGCAAGAAUGCAUGAACAAAUGAAUGAAUGAUCAAUUUGCCAAGGGGAAAGUAUACAACAUUAUGGAUAAUAAAAGAGAUGAAAUGGAAAGAAAAAUGUUUGAGUUAGAUGCUGAUAUCAUGGAGGAAGUUGAUGAAAUAUCCUGAAGGUGUUUAUGAAAAUGAUCUGGAUGAUGCAGGCAAGAUAGUGUAAGUGAUCAUCAUGGGUUUUAAUAAGUAGAGUCUCUUGAGAGAUGAUAAAUAAAGAAUAGCCUGCCAGUGACAGCAUUCAUUUGUUC